CUUUUGUGGGGUGCUCGAGUGGCGAACGGGUGAGUAACACGUGAGUAACCUGCCCUUGACUUUGGGAUAACUUCAGGAAACUGGGGCUAAUACCGGAUAGGAGCUCCUGCUGCAUGGUGGGGGUUGGAAAGUUUCGGCGGUUGGGGAUGGACUCGCGGCUUAUCAGCUUGUUGGUGGGGUAGUGGCUUACCAAGGCUUUGACGGGUAGCCGGCCUGAGAGGGUGAACGGCCACAUUGGAACUGAGAAACGGUCCAA
rnacentral:rRNA from 1 species